rnacentral:rRNA from 1 species
GAUGAACGCUGGCGGCGUGCCUAAUACAUGCAAGUCGAGCGAACAGACGAGGAGCUUGCUCCUUUGACGUUAGCGGCGGACGGGUGAGUAACACGUGGGUAACCUACCUAUAAGACUGGGAUAACUUCGGGAAACCGGAGCUAAUACCGGAUAAUAUUUCGAACCGCAUGGUUCGAUAGUGAAAGAUGGCUUUGCUAUCACUUAUAGAUGGACCUGCGCCGUAUUAGCUAGUUGGUAAGGUAACGGCUUACCAAGGCAACGAUACGUAGCCGACCUGAGAGGGUGAUCGGCCACACUGGAACUGAGACACGGUCCAGACUCCUACGGGAGGCAGCAGUAGGGAAUCUUCCGCAAUGGGCGAAAGCCUGACGGAGCAACGCCGCGUGAGUGAUGAAGGUCUUCGGAUCGUAAAACUCUGUUAUUCGGGAAGAACAAACGUGUAAGUAACUGUGCACGUCUUGACGGUACCUAAUCAGAAAGCCACGGCUAACUACGUG